CAUCUCCAGGACAUUCUACUG
rnacentral:siRNA from 1 species